UAAUACGUAGGGGGCAAGCGUUGUCCGGAAUCAUUGGGCGUAAAGAGCGUGUAGGCGGCCCGGUAAGUCCGCUGUGAAAGUCCAGGGCUCAACCCUGGAAUGCCGGUGGAUACUGUCGGGCUCGAGUCCGGAAGAGGUGAGUGGAAUUCCUGGUGUAGCGGUGAAAUGCGCAGAUAUCAGGAGGAACACCAAUGGCGAAGGCAGCUCACUGGGACGGUACUGACGCUGAGACGCGAAAGCGUGGGGAGCAAACAGGAUUAGAUACCCUGGUAGUCCACGCCGUAAACGAUGGUCACUAGGUGUGGGGGGUGUCGACUCCCUCCGUGCCGGAGCUAACGCAUUAAGUGACCCGCCUGGGGAGUACGGCCGCAAGGCU
rnacentral:rRNA from 1 species